rnacentral:rRNA from 1 species
AUUGAACGCUGGCGGCAGGCUUAACACAUGCAAGUCGAGCGAGCGCCGGCCGCUUCACUAAUGUCUCGGAACCUGCCUCAUGGAGCGGGAUAACUACUGCAAACGGUAGCUAAUACCUCAUACCAUCAUAUGUGCCCUGAUGGGAUUAGCUAGUAGGUGGGGUAAUGGCUCACGUAGGCGACGAUCCCUAGCUGGUCUGAGAGGCUGACCGGCCACACUGGAACUGAGACACGGUCCGGACUCCUACGGGAGGCAGCAGUGGGAAAUGUUGCACAAUGGGCGAAAGCCUGAUGCAGCCAUGCCGCGUGUGUGAAGAAGGCCUUCGGGUUGUAAAGCACUGUCAGCGAGGAGGCGUUAAUCGAAGAAGAAGCACCGGCUAACUCCGUGCCAGCAGCCGCGGUAAUUG